ensembl:snoRNA
UGGAUCGAUGAUGACUACUGGUGGCGUAUUAGUCUUGUACUAUGAAUACGUCCGAAGUCUGAGGUCCGU